AUGCUGUAUAAAAGGAGAAAAGACUUACACUUGUCUUGACAAGAAUAGAAGAGGCCCUUGGGUCUGACGGCAAACAUAGGGGUAAGGGGUUUCCAUCUACUUUGUGGCAUCUGAUCGUGGUUAAAA
rnacentral:ncRNA from 1 species